GGACCAAGGAGUCUAGCAUGUACGCGAGUCAUUGGGUAUUUAUAUAAAACCUAAAGGCGUAAUGAAAGUAAAAGUCUGCUUAGUGUAGACCUAGGGAAGAUGAGUAACACGAAAUAUUGUUACUUCGCACUCCCGGGGCGUCUCGUUCUCAUUGCGAGUUGAGGCGCACCUAGAGCGUACACGCUGGGACCC
rnacentral:rRNA from 1 species